rnacentral:lncRNA from 1 species
GUUCCAGAGGAAAACACAAAUCAGCUUUUAAUGAGCAGCAGGCUCAACAAGUCCUCACCUCAGAGACACAAAGCCUGAAAGGAAGCAAGCCUGCCCUUGAGGCUGCUCGGCAGGAUAUUCAGUGACUGAAUUCAUUCUUUACAGACCGUCCGUGGGUGAGUUUCGACAUCUCUGUCUCUGUUUAUCCACCCUUGGAAAC